GGGGUUGGGUGGGAUGUGUGGUCACAAGAAGACAGUGAGGACAAACGGGUUAAUGCACCCUGACCGAUGACGGCUGACUGAAUAGCAGGCGGGGGCACACGGCCCGGAGGCGGACUGCCCAGGGAAGGUACAAGGACAAGUUCAAUGUGGCUAAAUGCUCCACCCCAGGUCUAGUGGUGACGAAGCAGAGGCUUCAGGUCCUUCUUCCCUCCGCACCCCCAAUCUCAUGCCUUCAGUCAGCAGAUGCCUCAAAGACCCCAUCACUACCACAACCAUCUCCCAGGCCGGCUACCAUGAGGAUAAACAAACUGCACAAGGCUGGUCAUGCUGGUCUCCACCAAACCUUUGUGAAGUCUGAACUGCACCAAGCAGCUGAUGAGCAUGAGAAGCCCAAACCAAGACCACGUAUAAAGGAUGCACUCUUCAAGCCUGCUGUAAAUGAACCAGUGAUUUCAAGCAGCAGAUGAAUUUCCUCUGGGA